GAUUUCUGGUUUGACGCACCUGGCCCGCCUCGGUUACGAGUGUGAGUGCUGGCGCGUGUCUGCCAUCCUGCUAGAAAACGGCGGCGCCCUUCACUGGGUUGUCGUCGCGAUCUAGCUCUAUUACUUUGAAAAAAUUAGAGUGUUUCAAGCAGGCUUUAUGCUAUGAAUACAUUAGCAUGGAAUAAUAAUUUAGGACUUCGGUUCUAUUUUGUUGGUUUCUAGGACUGAAGUAAUGAUUGAUAGGGAUAGUUGGGGGUGCUAGUAUUCAGCGGCCAGAGGUGAAAUUCUCGGAUUCGCUGAAGACUAACUUAUGCGAAAGCAUU
rnacentral:rRNA from 1 species